UUUUGAUUUGUAUUUGGGGAAGGAUCUGUAUUUUCAGAAUUGGAUCCCUCUAUCUCAUGCUCUGAUACCAUAUUAAUUUUGGAGAAUGAAAAAUACUUUAACACAAUUUAGCUGAAAUAAUGUUAAGAAUUUUAUUCAUUCAACCAUUCCUUUCAUAUACAAUGGGAAUGUGUAUAUAUACAACUAAAAAGGAAUCUUUCCUAACAAAUUUAUACAGAGAGAGAGAGAGAGGUUGCUGUCAACAAAUCUAACUUUCCCAACCAAUUUCUUUCUAGAUUAUUCUGCCAUUGCUCUGUCAUCAAUUCCAUAUGAUUAUUUUUCCAGCUGCACAGCAAGUCCACGUGGUUUCCUUCUUGCCAAUAUUUCAGCUGAGCCAUCUUCGACCCUGCUUCCUUCCAGAGUUCCAGCUGAGCUAUCUUCUAACUUUAAUACCAAGAACAAAAGGAAAUUACUUGAGACCAAGACAAGAUUUUGUUGGGAUCAUUUAUUUGAGAUUUAAAGGCAAGAAGGGCAGACUCAUCAUUUGAGCUACUGAGAGAUGUAGCGACACAAAGAACCAUGUAGAACCUUGCCAGUAACGUAAAGAUCACAUUCUUUCCCAUGGUCAAUUUGAUCUUUAUCACUAUGAGAUGGAAAAAAAAUUUCUGGCGAUGUAAGUAUAAGUUGCAGAACUUAUAUAGUAGAGAUGCUUGUUGCUUUAUCUUAAAGGAGUGGAGUUCAUCACUCCAAUAUUGACUCGGCUUGACUUUACAAGUCUUUGAUUUUAAUAUUCUUCGGCCUUAACUGUCAAAUGUUAAUUAUUUUUUCGGCG
rnacentral:lncRNA from 1 species